GAUAUUAUAGCUCAAUGGCAGAGCAAAGACCUGUUAAGUCUGAGGUUGAAGGUUCGAAUCCUUCCGAUAUCGC
rnacentral:tRNA from 1 species